GCUGGGCAUAGUGGCGUGAGCCUGUAGUCCCAGCUACUUGGGAGGCAGAGGCAGGGGAAUCACUUGAACCCAGGAAAAGGAGGUUGCAGUGAGCUGAGAUCACAUCACUGCACUCCAGCCUGGGUGACAGAGUGAGACUCUGUCUCAA
ensembl:misc_RNA Metazoa_SRP Metazoan signal recognition particle RNA